rnacentral:rRNA from 1 species
CCUACGGGUGGCAGCAGUGGGGAAUAUUGGACAAUGGGGGCAACCCUGAUCCAGCCAUGCCGCGUGUGUGAAGAAGGCCCUCGGGUUGUAAAGCACUUUCAGUGAGGAAGAACGCCUGGUGGUUAAUACCCAUCAGGAAAGACAUCACUCACAGAAGAAGCACCGGCUAACUCCGUGCCAGCAGCCGCGGUAAUACGGAGGGUGCGAGCGUUAAUCGGAAUUACUGGGCGUAAAGCGCGCGUAGGUGGCUUGAUAAGCCGGUUGUGAAAGCCCCGGGCUCAACCUGGGAACGGCAUCCGGAACUGUCAAGCUAGAGUGCAGGAGAGGAAGGUAGAAUUCCCGGUGUAGCGGUGAAAUGCGUAGAGAUCGGGAGGAAUACCAGUAGCGAAGGCGGCCUUCUGGACUGACACUGACACUGAGGUGCGAAAGCGUGGGUAGCAAACAGGAUUAGAUACCCUGGUAGUC